GCCAGUGUAGUGUAGUGGUUUGAGUGCUGGACUACGACUCUAGAGUCCAGGGUUAGAAUCGUUGUUUGGCU